UCCUGGGUGGCUCAUUGGUUGAGCAUCUGCCUUUGGCUCAGGUCGUGGGAUCGAGUCCCACAUCAGGCU
rnacentral:tRNA from 1 species